rnacentral:rRNA from 1 species
CUACGGGCCGCUGCAGUGGGGAAUAUUGCACAAUGGAGGAAACUCUGAUGCAGCAACGCCGCGUGGAGGAUGACACUUUUCGGAGCGUAAACUCCUUUUAUAUAGGAAGAUAAUGACGGUACUAUAUGAAUAAGCACCGGCUAACUCCGUGCCAGCAGCCGCGGUAAUACGGAGGGUGCAAGCGUUACUCGGAAUCACUGGGCGUAAAGAGCGUGUAGGCGGAUUAAUAAGUCAGAUGUGAAAGCCAAUGGCUCAACCAUUGAACUGCAUUUGAAACUGUUAAUCUAGAAUAUGGGAGAGGUAGAUGGAAUUUCUGGUGUAGGGGUAAAAUCCGUAGAGAUCAGAAGGAAUACCGAUUGCGAAGGCGAUCUACUGGAACAUUAUUGACGCUGAGACGCGAAAGCGUGGGGAGCAAACAGGAUUAGAUACCCUAGUAGUC